CCUACGGGGGGCAGCAGUGAGGAAUAUUGGUCAAUGGACGAGAGUCUGAACCAGCCAAGUAGCGUGAAGGAUGACUGCCCUAUGGGUUGUAAACUUCUUUUAUAUGGGAAUAAAACGUUCCACGUGUGGGAUUUUGUAUGUACCAUAUGAAUAAGGAUCGGCUAACUCCGUGCCAGCAGCCGCGGUAAUACGGAGGAUCCGAGCGUUAUCCGGAUUUAUUGGGUUUAAAGGGAGCGUAGGUGGAUUGUUAAGUCAGUUGUGAAAGUUUGCGGCUCAACCGUAAAAUUGCAGUUGAAACUGGCAGUCUUGAGUACAGUAGAGGUGGGCGGAAUUCGGGGUGUAGCGGUGAAAUGCUUAGAUAUCACGAAGAACUCCGAUUGCGAAGGCAGUUCACUGGACUGCAACUGACACUGAGGCUCGAAAGUGUGGGUAUCAAACAGGAUUAGAUACCCUGUAGUC
rnacentral:rRNA from 1 species